UAUGUGGCCUAGUGGUAAGAGUGUCCGCCUCGGAUGCGGGUUGUCGUAGGUUCGAUUCCCGGUUGAGUAA